UUCUUUGGUAAUCGAAUAGUUUCACUUCAGUUUUCGUAUACUGCAGACAUUGUUUGAUAGAAAUCACUUCCACGUGCGCGAUAUUUUCUGUUGUAUACCGUUACCAAUUGAAUACUUCUUUCAGCUGACUAUUUCAUAGGACACCUGAGCACCUAAACCACAAUCUACAACAUUAUUGUCAUUGUUUUUUAUCCUUCGUUCUUCGUUGUUCAUUUCUCGCGUUGUGUGUGUUAUUUUUUGUGUUUGUGAAACAAUCAAGCCUGUAAGCUUGUCUAAAUGUAGACUAUUUUUGGAUUUUGAUUUUUGUGAAAAUAUGUAAGAACGAUCAUCGUUUCGGCGACGUUUUUUCGCCAUGGAUGAAGAGCUUGGCAUCGCAGCAUGAAACGUGACGGGGCUUUAACGCCCCUGGGAGUACCUUCAAUUGUUCGGUCUCCCAACGGUGCUAACAACGCAAUGAGUCGUAAUCGUGUAAUAUUGAUGUGGUUUUUGUUGAGCUUGUGUUUCUUUCCAUGUGUCGUGUUAAGCGAAGAAGUAAAUAGUGAAACUGCGUUUAGCUUAGCGCCCGAAAUUACUACCACAGUGUUCGACUAUGCAAGCCGUGGAACAAAAAAAUUCGGUGACAAAUGUGAAUCAACACUGGAAUGUGGUUUCCCUGGCUCGGUAUGUGAUUCGAAGAAGAAAUCGUGUCAAUGUGUGGAAAAUCUUCCGAUAACUAAUCACCUGGACAAGUGUGGAAAGGAAGCGGCAAUAAAUGACACAUGUUUCUUCAACGAACAAUGUGAAGCUUUUAGCUUUCAAACCGUUUGUCGCGAUGGUCGAUGCAUUUGUCGUUUCGAUUUGUCACCGAUUAUUAAUAAGGAUGGAAGGAUUGAAUGCUAUGCAAAGCAAGAAUCACGUGAACCGGAGCGAUACGUAGAUCCAGCGAUGAUUGGCAUACUGGCUGGUAUGGCUCUCAUGUUUAUCAUCAUUUGUGUUGUACUGCGAUUGUUUAGUAGAGCUCGAUGGCAUGAAAAUCGUACCAUAUUUAAUACACCCAAUCCGCGAUUGAUGAAUGUAUCGCUAUUGCGUGACAACAAAUUGUUACACGGCCAGGAAAGACGCGGAUCACGAAUGUCUGUACGAAUGCCGUCACGUCAGCCGAGCAUGGCAUCGCUCAGGGCCCAUUCACCGAACCCAUCGUUAGAGAACCAAAAUACAAUACAAGAGACGAAAAUGCAUCCGUUAGCCAACAAAACCAGUAAUUAACGUGCUCUACCGGACAGAAAUUCGAUUUUUCCAUUACCAUUCAACCCAAAGUAAUGUUCAUUAUAAAUCAUGCGUUUUUGGUUUGUCGAUGCUAAAAUAAAAGCGCUUCAUGCAAUAAAUUAAUGGCUUUUAUAAAUCAAUUAAAAGUUGAAACAUAGAAAACAUCAACCACGAUCCCGACGUGGAUCCCGUGGUAGCAGCAAUGUAUCAGCGGCAUCCACACGUUCCAAUCGAAGUAAUCCAACAAAUGGACACGAGACAAAAAUAAUAGUAGCUGAUAGCGCUAAUGCACCAGGUGUAGAAAAAGUAACUAUAGAAAUAUCGGAAAUGAAAGCAUGAGUGUAUGAGGUGUCGCAUAAAUAAUCAUCAUUGAAGAACUUAAACAAAAAAAAAAUAAAUAAAAAUAAUUCAAAAUAAGCAAGAACAUCAUCAGCAAAAUCUCUUUUCCCAACAAAAUGGUGUUGCUUGCGCAAUAUGAGUAAAACUUGCUUAAAAUCAGCUUAUUCUCUUGUUUAAUAAAAAAAAAACUGUGGAAAACGUAAAGUCGAACACAAAUCGUCAACUUAAACUAUGUAAAACAAGAAAAGCCCUGUUGCCUAAUAGAAUAUUUUAUUAAAGUAGUAGAUUUAGUGUCACAAUUAUUAAUUAAAAACCAAAAACAAAAUAUAUGAAAAAUCUAUUAAAAAUCAAUGCGUAUAAUAAAACAAAAAAAUGAAAAAUAAUAAAAAAUAAAUAGCGUAGAUAAACUAACCUAAUUUAAAAUGCAAUACUUCUGGGACCAUACCAACUAAUUCAUUGAUAUGCGUUUCAUCGAAAAUUUAGCAAAAAAAAAAUAUUUCUAAACUGAAAAAUUACAUCACUGUUCUACCAAAUACGGACCCUUACUUACAGGGAUAAUAUUCAAAGGAUUUUAAAAAUCGUUCUUCUUUUUCUCGCGCUCCUAACUUACAUUUCACCAGCAAAAUGAGACAGUACAAUUUUGUUUAUCAUUACGUUAAAUUAAAUUUCUAAUUUGAAAUUGCGCCCAAACGUUUUUUUCUCUCUCGAAUGACUAAAAUUUCGGCCAACGGAAAUUCGAUAUUUUACUUAAGCUUUAAUCGAACAAAUUGUUAAAACUGAAUGGCGAUUUCGUUCCGUUGAAACAAAUAUUAUGGAAGCACAGACCAUUUGAAUGGAUUUCCUCUGCAAAGUGCCACCCAACCAAAAAUUAUCACUGAAAAAAAAAUUGAAACAUUUUUUAAAAACAUUUCAUUAAAAUCGGCUUCAUGAAUCGCCCCCUCCCAUAUUUUUCGGUGUUACUCGUGCCUAGAAACUUUUUUUUUACUUUUUUUGGUUUAUUCAUUAAUUUAAGAUGCAAAAUCGAUACUGUGUAACGAUCUAUAAAAUCAAAUCAACAUCCAUAUGCCAAUGAUAUUGUUUCAUUAUUGCUAAAACGAAGCUUAAAAAGUGAUAUUUUCUAGACCAUAAAUGAAAAUUAAAAGUAAAAAAAAAUAAUUAAAAACUAAAAACUAAAAAAAACACUCACACAUACUUUGAUACGUGAUAUUUUACGACACCUUCAACAAAAAAACAAAAAAUGGGAAUAAUAAAACGAUUUCGAUGUGCAAAUGAUUUUCUUUUUCUGCUAAUCUAGAUUUCUAACUUAGAAUUGAUUUGAACCGCGAUUUAAAUGGCUAAAUUGAUUAUCGUAAAUUUACUGAGCUUUAGACAAAUUUGUUUAAAAAUAAAAUUUAAAAAAAAAGAGAAAAUCUAGUAUUGAAACGUCCAAGAUCAGUAUAUAAACAUCAAAAAACUAACCAUGCACCAAAAAUAAUAAAUGAUAAACAAAACCGUAGUGUUUUCUAAAUACCUAAAAUUAAUAUAAACUAACUAAAAAAAACCAACAACCAAAUUUGCACAAGAAAUGAAUGAUCAAAUAAACAAUAAACGAGAAACAUUAAAAGAAAAUUUAGAAAAAAAAUUAACAAGAAGUUAAAAAAUUAACGGUAAGAUUUGAUUUGAGAGAUAUUCCCCUUUUUUCCAAAUAUAUUAAUAUAGAAAAUUUAUUAAAAUUUUGCUUAAAAUAAACUAAACUUAAAGUAAAGUUAAAAAAAUAAUUAAAAACAAAAAAAAAUAUUCUCAUUUGAUUUAGGUUUUUUAAUACUUAAAAAUGAUUAUAUCAAACGUAAUGAAGAAUCAAAUAAUUGUAAAAUACAGGCGUUCACAAUUAAAACACUUAAUUGAAAUUAAAUAAACUUUCAUUGAAAAAAGAAAAAAAAAGAAUAUAAAUUUAUUAAAUCUAAGGUAUCAAAUAGCAAAAAAAAACAAUUUAUUAGUGAAGCGUUCUCAUGUGUGUAGAUACUUAAAACGAACAAAACAGCAUUGAAAGUUUUAAUAUUUAAAGAACAAAACAACAAAAACAAGAUCUAAUUCUUACAAAAAAUAGCGGUAAUAAUUCGCAUAAAACCCAAACAUAAAUCUUUACAAACCAAAAAAUCCAACCAACCAUUUCCUUUUCGCAUAAAGUAUUUCUAUAGCCACUUGUUUUCUAUAAAAAAAUUUAGAUAAACAAAAAAUGAAGCAACCGUAAACAAACCUUCUAAUUCUAAGCUUUACAGCGAUAAAUAAAUCCUUGAUGACAAGUAAAUAAAGCGUAAAAAUCUAACUUUAUAGUUGUAGUGAACAGAAGAAAGUAAAAGAACGAAACACAAUAUCUCUCUUAUACAGGAUGCAAACUCAUUAAAAUAAUU